UAGUUCAUUCUAAUCCCAUCAGUGUAGUUGAGCACGUACUUGGUGCUAGGUACUGGGCUAAACAUCAGAGACCUCAAGAUGGCUCGUGGGAUGCCGACUGGAGGCAGAGAUCACAACUAAAUGAGAAAAACAAGUAUCCGUAAAAUGGUGUCCUCAGAGUUGGACUUUGUUGGAGUGAACAUGUUUGAGAGCUCUGAGGAGGAAAAAUGACUUCUACUUAGAGAGUCUAGGAAGGUUUUGUAGAGCAUGUGACUCUUAACUAGAAGCUUAAGUGGGAGUACAAUUUCCACAGGUGGUUUCCAUGGUGACUUGUAGCAAGAGGACUCAGAAAUCCGAUUCCGCCCUAACAGUUCAUUUCUCAUUUUCUUUCCUCUGUUGAUGCUUCUCCUGUGUGUUCGUUUAUACAAGUUGAUGCUCCUGCUACUGAGUCUUUCUGAGUCUACUGCGCUUUCAUCAUCGACAGCCUUACUCACUUGCUCUCCAACCUGUCCUGCGUUACACGUCUCUGCAGUUGAGUGGGAAGAACAUGGGCUCGUGAAUCUUGUAAUAAGGGCCUGAGCCCAUUGUUUAUAGCUAAGAAAUGCUUGAUGAGUAAAUGAUAGACUUGAAUUAAUAUCUUAAUUCUGCAAAUGGCUUGACACAUCUGUAAAGGGUAGAAAGGAACGCCUGGCUUGUAACAACACCUGCCUCCAAAGGUUUUUCUGAGGGUAUACAUGGAGAACAAAUGGAAACAUCUUCACGGGAUAUUUGGUGCAUCGCAGGUUUUGCUGUUUUGCUGCUUCCCUUGCUCAUGGAUAGUUCAUUCUUCAUCUUGUACUAAACUGGUCUAGUCCAUUCCAGACGGGCACCAAAUACAAUAUUUUUCCACAUACACUUAAUUGAUUAACUGCAGAUAAGCUUUGACCCAAUGUGCAUGAAAGAACUACUUGUCGUGCACAUUUCUCUAAAAUCUAUAAAUUGAGGGUUUUUUUUCUCUCAUAUUUGGAAGUACAAAAAGAUUAAUGCCUUUUUUUUUUGGUUCAAAAAGAAUUCUUACAACAUUUAGACUAUCACUAUAUUGAGUAAUGCUAAAAAUAAGUUUGUUUCACUCCUAUUUUUUUCUAGUCCUUGUUAUCUCUGUCCUCUUCUUCCUUACCUUUCUGUCUUUAUCACUUGUGCUCUCUCCAAAGUACACAGUCUAAGUACUUCGAAAAAAAUUUCCUGCCACUGAUGGAGCUUACCAUCUAGCAGAGAAGCUUACUGUUAACAACGUGGAAAGGUUUAAAGUUCUUGCUAAUAAUAUAGGAAAACCUUUUCUUAAUAUGUUGUCUAUAAAGAUGAUAUAAAUGUAUUUAUUUGCAGAGACAAUAUAAAUGAGAUGAGAGAUGAAUCUACUUGUUUUCAAACGUGGUAGAAACAAACUCAAUUUGUAGAUUUUAGAUAACAUACAGAGCAACAUGAAAAAAGUCACAUUGAAUUCUUUUGCUUUCAUUCAUUUUUUCAUGCUAGAGUUAUUUGCUAAUAGUACUAUUCUUUUUAUUCUAAUUAAAAUGUCUGCAUUCCUA